rnacentral:misc_RNA from 1 species
AACGCACAUUGCGCCCUUCGGUAUUCCGUUGGGCAUGCCUGUUCGAGCGUCAUUUAAACCUUCAAGCUAUGCUUGGUGUUGGGUGUUUGUUCCGCCUCAGCGCGUGGACUCGCCUCAAAUUCAUUGGCAGCCGGUAUGUUGGCUUCGUGCGCAGCACAUUGCAAGCGACUUCAGCAUACCCCCUCCCACAAGCCCUUUUUUACUUUGACCUCGGAUCAGGUAGGGAUACCCGCUGAACUUAA